CGUGUAGGCGGGUCUUUAAGUCAGGGGUGAAAUGCCAAGGCUCAACCUUGGAACCGCCUUUGAUACUGGAGAUCUUGAGUCCGGGAGAGGUGAGUGGAACUGCGAGUGUAGAGGUGAAAUUCGUAGAUAUUCGCAAGAACACCAGUGGCGAAGGCGGCUCACUGGCCCGGAACUGACGCUGAGACGCGAAAGCGUGGGGAGCAAACAGGAUUAGAUACCCUGGUAGUCCACGCUGUAAACGAUGGAUGCUAGCCGUUGGGGAGCUUGCUCUUCAGUGGCGCAGCUAACGCUUUAAGCAUCCCGCCUGGGGAGUACGGUCGCAAGAUUAAA
rnacentral:rRNA from 1 species